rnacentral:lncRNA from 1 species
GGCACAAUGGGUCAGUGGCACAAUGGGUCAAUGUGAGGCACAAAUGGGGUUCAGAUGUGGGCACAAUGGGGUCAAUGUGGGGCACAAUGGGGUCAAUGUGGGGCACAAUGGGGUCAGUGGGGCACAAUGGGGUCAGAUGUGGGGCACAAUGGGGUCAGAUGUGGGGCACAAUGGGGUCAGAUGUGGGGCACAAUGGGGUCAAUGUGGGGCACAAUGGGGUCAGAUGUGGGGCACAAUGGGGUCAAUGUGGGGCACAAUGGGGUCAAUGUGGGGCACAAUGGGGUCAAUGGGGCACAAUGGUGUCAAUGUGGGGCCCAUAACCAAUGACCCCCAUGGCCCCAUUGCCCCCAUUGACUCACCACGAUACGGAACGGUGAGUUGGGGACGUGCUGCCCCCCAAACCGCACAAUGGAGUCAGAUGUGGGCACGGGAUGGGGUCAGAUAUGUGGGUCGAGCAAUUUGGGUCAGUGGGCGCCCAGAGUGGGAUCAAUGUGGGCAGCAU